rnacentral:rRNA from 1 species
AUUGAACGCUGGCGGCAGGCCUAACACAUGCAAGUCGAGCGGAUGAAGGGAGCUUGCUUCCUGAUUCAGCGGCGGACGGGUGAGUAAUGCCUAGGAAUCUGCCUGAUAGUGGGGGACAACGUUUCGAAAGGAACGCUAAUACCGCAUACGUCCUACGGGAGAAAGCAGGGGACCUUCGGGCCUUGCGCUAUCAGAUGAGCCUAGGUCGGAUUAGCUAGUAGGUGAGGUAAUGGCUCACCUAGGCGACGAUCCGUAACUGGUCUGAGAGGAUGAUCAGUCACACUGGAACUGAGACACGGUCCAGACUCCUACGGGAGGCAGCAGUGGGGAAUAUUGGACAAUGGGCGAAAGCCUGAUCCAGCCAUGCCGCGUGUGUGAAGAAGGUCUUAGGAUUGUAAAGCACUUUAAGUCAGGAGGAAGGGGUGUGUGUUAAUAGCACAUACUUUUGACGUUACUGACAGAAUAAGCACCGGCUAACUUCGUGCCAGCCGCCGCCGUAACAC